GUGCCAGCAGCCGCGGUAAUACCGGCAGCUCGAGUGAUGACCGAUUUUAUUGAGCCUAAAGCGUCCGUAGCUGGCCAGGCAAGUCCGUUGGGAAAUCCACCUGCUCAACAGGUGGGCGUCCAGCGGAAACUGCUUGGCUUGGGACCGGAAGAUCCAAGGGGUACGUCCGGGGUAGGAGUGAAAUCCUGUAAUCCUGGACGGACCGCCGAUGGCGAAAGCACCUUGGAAGGACGGAUCCGACAGUGAGGGACGAAAGCUAGGGUCUCGAACCGGAUUAGAUACC
rnacentral:rRNA from 1 species